rnacentral:rRNA from 2 species
AGACCCGAAACCCGGUGAUCUAGCCAUGGGCAGGUUGAAGGUUGGGUAACACUAACUGGAGGACCGAACCGACUAAUGUUGAAAAAUUAGCGGAUGACCUGUGGCUGGGGGUGAAAGGCCAAUCAAACCGGGAGAUAGCUGGUUCUCCCCGAAAGCUAUUUAGGUAGCGCCUCGUGAAUUCAUCUCCGGGGGUAGAGCACUGUUUCGGCUAGGGGGCCAUCCCGGCUUACCAACCCGAUGCAAACUGCGAAUACCGGAGAAUGUUAUCACGGGAGACACACGGCGGGUGCUAACGUCCGUCGUGAAGAGGGAAACAACCCAGACCGCCAGCUAAGGUCCCAAAGUCAUGGUUAAGUGGGAAACGAUGUGGGAAGGCCCAGACAGCCAGGAUGUUGGCUUAGAAGCAGCCAUCAUUUAAAGAAAGCGUAAUAGCUCACUGGUCGAGUCGGCCUGCGCGGAAGAUGUAACGGGGCUAAACCAUGCACCGAAGCUGCGGCAGCGACGCUGAUGCGUUGUUGGGUAGGGGAGCGUUCUGUAAGCCUGCGAAGGUGGCCUGUGAGGGUUGCUGGAGGUAUCAGAAGUGCGAAUGCUGACAUAAGUA